GAGAAGGGAUGACACAGUAGGAUAAGCUAAGCACACUGUUGGUUAUGUGUGCCCAAGCAUUGAGGCAGUCAAAGUAGGCAAAUCCGCUUUGAUAAUGCUGGGAUGUGAUGGGGAGCGAAAUUUAGUAGCGAAGUAGCUGAUUUCACACUGUCAAGAAAAGUCUCUAUCGAGGUUAAAGGUACCCGUACCGCAAACCGACACAGGUGGGUGAGGAGAGUAUCCUAAGGCCAGCGAGAGAACUGUUGUUAAGGAACUCGGCAAAAUGACCCCGUAACUUAGGGAUAAGGGGUGCCACCAUCAGGUGGCCGCAGAGAAUAGGCCCAAGCGACUGUUUACCAAAAACAUAGGUUUCUGCUAAGUCG
rnacentral:rRNA from 1 species